GAUGAAGAACGCAGCGGAAUGCGAUAAGUAAUGUGAAUUGCAGAAUUCAGUGAAUCAUCGAAUCUUUGAACGCACAUUGCGCCCGCUAGUAUUCUGGCGGGCAUGCCUGUUCGAGCGUCAUUUCAACCAUCAAGCCCCAGGCUUGUGUUGGGGGCCUGCGGCUGCCGCAGCCCCUGAAAAGCAGUGGCGGGCUCGCUGUCAUUCCGAGCGCAGUAGUUACAUCUCGCUCCGGGCGUGGCGGUGGGCACCUGCCGUGAAACACUCCUUCUAAGGUUGACCUCGGAUCAGGUAGGAAUACCCGCUGAACUUAAGCAUAUCAAUAAGCGGAGGA
rnacentral:misc_RNA from 1 species